UCCUCACUGUUUUAGGACACCCGGCUCCUCAUUGCACACCCUUUUUUUUUGUGUUCUCCAUGUCUACAAAUGCAUGUUGGCUUCUUUCAGAGUUAAUGGGGGAUCUGCAUCAGCACACAUGUCAGUGUUGAAGGGCUGGCCUAAUCCUAAGAGGCAGGGCCAAACUGAUGUCAACACUAAAGAACCGCCCUCAUCUUAUGUAACAUGGCCAGCCUGAUGUCACAGCUGAAGGACCACCGUCAUCCCAAAAGGUGGGGCCAGUUUAACGUCAUGGCUGAAGGACCGCCCUCAGCUUAUGUAUUUUGGGGAUGGACAGUGGAUCUUUUCAGUAGUUCAUUAACAUUCAAAUUAUAAGGACUGAUUUUAUGAAAUUUUGGAUUACCAUUGGCAUUUGUUUGCUGUGUUUUUUUGUUUGUUUUGCUAUUUUUUGGCUCUUUGGUAAAUCUAAAUAUA